rnacentral:rRNA from 1 species
UACAGAGGGUGCGAGCGUUAAUCGGAAUUGCUGGGCGUAAAGCGUGCGUAGACGGUUAUUUAAGUCGGAUGUGAAAGCCCCGGGCUCAACCUGGGAAUUGCAUUCGAGACUGAAUAGCUAGGGUACGGUAGAGGGAAGCGGAAUUUCCGGUGGAGCGGUGAAAUGCGUAGAGAUCGGAAAGAACACCAACGGCGAAAGCACUCUGCUGGGCCGACACUGACACUGAGAGACGAAAGCUAGGGGAGCGAAUGGG